UCUCUGCUGGUACAGAUUUUUGUAAGUGUGGCGUGUGGGCUUUUGUUCAUCACUGGCAAAAAUGCACAGCUACUGGGAGUUCACAAGGUGGAAAAAUAGCACUUUGUAUUUGAGAAUUUGCUCCAUCAAGUAGUGUUAUUGUACUCUUUGUAUCUGCUUUAGUUUCCAUGGAAAUGUAUGGGUGGCAUUACUUUUGUAGGAGUGACCUACAUAUAUGUGGCCCAAGACAUUUCCUCUACAGUCAAUGCGGCCCAGGCAAGCUGGAAGGUUGGACCCUGUGUGCUGUGGUCUUCUUCACAGCCUCCUGUUUUCACAGAAGCGCUCUGGGGGCUGUUUUUAUCUGAACGCAAUGAUUGCUGUAGCUGCUAUUCUGUACCUCAGGUUGCUGUGGAUGGGGAUUUCAUGUUGCUUGCAUUUAUUUUUGAGAGGGCUUUAAAUCUUGUUAGAGGAGAUAACUUGGCCUUUCAUGUCACAUUUCUUGAUCUGAGGAUGUGUAAAGAUCUUGCACAGCGGUAAGAAAAAAGUCCCAACUUAGAUGAAGCAGUUGUUCAUCUCAUUUAUGAAAUCAGUUAAUGGGUAUGAUUGGCUAGCUUCCCGUGGCACAACUGUAUGCCACUUGCUUCAUACAUCAGAUGCAUUUUCUAUAUAAUAAAUUGUAAAGUUUGAAAGCUUUUACUCAGUUUUUAGGCACAAAAUGUUGUUUUUGUAUUAAAUAUAAUGGUAAGAUUUUGUCUUAAAAUACAAAUCUAGUUGUAUUGAAAUGGCAGUUGGUUCUGACUAGAUUCCUUUGCCUUAAAAGGGAACUUUCAGCCACAGUGUAAGGACCUUCUUGGUUGGCCAUCUAGCUAUGGGAAAUAUAAACUGUGCUUAAUUCAAAUAUUACUCUUUUCGAUUUUUAUAUCAAUUUCCAGAGGCCUACCUAAGUGUUAAGCUUCCUUUAUAAAAGCACAGGCAAUAAAAUUGUUGCUGCUGCCAGCUUGUAUGCCUGAAAGCUCAGGGUUUUUUGUCCUAACUGUAUCAGGCUUUUUUAAUAAAAAAUAUUAACUUUCUUCACAAACUUGUCUGACAUAGAGAAGAAAAAUAUCUUUCACUCAAAGAAAGUAUCAGUUAUAUUUAAUGAUUAAAACAAAUUGUUGUAAGAGAAGACAGAAGGCAAAUGGAAGAAAAAUCUGGGGAAAGGCAAGCUGUAAAAGCCCCUGGUUUCUCACCAUACUGAAAAUGGAUCUUAGUUUUCUUGGUGGACCUGAGUUUUCAAGAAUAGUUGCAAGUAGCAAAUCGACUGAAUAUUUGAGUUUAAAUCUUAUAUUCUUAUAUUAUCUGAAUAUUAGAAUUUAAAUCUUGUUUUAUCAAAUACCAAAAAAUCCUAAACUAAAUAGUAAAUGGUUUGCAGCUGAGCAGUGUCUCAUCUUUCAAAAGCCCUGAUAGCUGAAGCUAGAGGUAAAUGGAAACUGCAAAAGCAAAAAGUGGCAAGAAGUGUUUCAGGGCUUUGCUUUUGUAUGCACAAGGGUGGAGCCAUUUUGCAAUAUGUCAGGGGAAGAAGAUGGAGCUGUGAGUGAUGGUACUGCACAGGCUUGGCAUACUUCAGAGCUUCAAAACCAGUUGUUUCCGUGCUUCCAUAUUUUGGGAUCUACAAAUGAAGAGAAGCUGUCAGUCAGGUUGUACCCAGUGCUCUGGAUGGAAAACAAGGAGAUGCUCAGAGAGGUGGUGUAUACCCCGUCCCCGUAGACACUCAAGGUAAGACUGAAUGGGGAUCUGAGCACUCUGAGCUGUGAGUGUCCCUGUUCAUUGCAGGGAAGUUGGACUUGAUGCCCUCUGCAUGUCCUUUCCAAUUCAAACAAUUCUAUGAUUUUAAGUGUGAGGUAUGUCUUCACAAAAAGAAAGAACGCUAAGAACGUUCAGCCUUGGGAAUUGUAUUUCACCAUGUGAAUGAAAUACAUUCUGUUAAAGCAUGCAUCACAUUUGCCAAUCAUUGUCUUCAUCAUAAAAAUUCAUGCUAUUAUGGACAUCUAAAGCACACAGUGUGAUAGUAUCUUGUUUCCUGCAGCUCAUGCAUUGUCUCCCCAGAAGUAUAUCUGCAACCACCUAAGAGCCCAAGCCUGUAAGAUCUGAAACCUUUUGCACGGUAUCUGAUUGGCUGAGGGACCAGAGAGAUCACCUGUGCAGCUCAGUUUCUCUCUUCACAAGUCAAGUUUCCUCAUUGAGGUGCUUUCUUCCUCCUCUAACUUCAGCUGCUCCAAAGGAUGCCUGGAACAAAACAGUCUUCAAAUGCUUCUCUCCGCUGGCACUAGCAAGGGUGUUCUGCCAAUUCCUACAUCAGCUCCCCUUGAUCUGGGUCCUGAGAACUCAGCGAGUGCUGUAUUCUGAAGCUAGGAGCCAUAGAGUUGGGCAUUCUGACUGCGUGCUGCCUCUGUGCCUAGACGGUAUGUACAGUGAACCGGAUGUCUGUAAUUUGAAUGUGUCUUAACUGGGCUGUGCUGAGAUCUCCAGACUUUAAUGUAAUGGUUUAAAGUUUCCAUUUAUGCUUACUGCUCCUCAUGAGUGUUCCUUAUUCCAUCUUAAGGUGUUUGUCAGGUGCUAACAGUACAGUCCAACUGGGACUGCAGUAUGCUCUGGAACUCAAUUUGUAUGUUCUGAGAAAUACAUUAAGCUAAACACAGUGGUGUUCUCCACAACCACUACUUUGAAAACAUACGGUUGGCGAGGGCAAUCACUGGAGUCAUUUCACUAACGCGGUUUUAGCGCGCUUUUCAGCUUGCUUCUCCAGCCAUCUCUCUCUAUCCGCGUGUGUUGUGGCAGCCUUAGCAAACCUUCUGUGUGUGUGCUAGAACUGCAGUCCUCCUCUUAAAUUGUAUCCCUGAGAUGCACCAAUACUACACAUUUCUUUCCCAAAUGCUGCCAGUGAAUUUUGGGCGUCCAUUUUCUGAAAGCGUUUCUGGUCUAUUUUAAUGAAUGGUUUCUGUGAAAAUUAAUUCUGUGUGUAUAUUGUGAGAAGUCUAGUGAUACUUUACUCCAGUCUCUCCUUCAUUCUCUGCCUCCAUCCCCGCCCCCAGCAGUUAUAAAGGCAGGGACUUUCCCUCCUCAGUGAAACACUUGCUGUCAGUAGCAAUGUUGUAGAGGAAGAAACUUUUAUGCAAAGGUCAGGGAAUUUUGUAAGGAUCAUAAUUUCCUAAAGGCUUCAUUAACCUUUACAAAAUACUUGCCGCUGCAUCGCACAAGAUACGAUUAAAUGACCUUUAACAUUCAGAGCGAUAAAUGAAAGUAACAACCUCGAGGUAUCACAAAUAGUAUUGAUGCUUCCCAAUACCGAUCUCCCAUCAUGAAUCUUAGUGCAGAGAACAGACUUGAAAUAUGAUGCUCUGCCUAUGAUGAAGCCUAGUUUCUGUGGUGUACAUAAUCCAGGAAAAGUAUUUACCUGUGUUAGUGCCUGGUGGAACGCUAAGGUGAUGUGGCACAGUAGCAUCGCCUUCUUUCUGCAAGUAUUCCAGAAACUGUCUCACAGAUGAUAAACAUUCAAAGUAAUGAGGCCCAUCCCUUUAUUUUGAGUAGAUACCAGAGCCUGGAAUUCUGUGAUUUCCUGAAAAUCUUUUUAUCCAGCUACACAUGGCUCAUAGUCCAUGUUCUGUUAAAGGGCCACAGAGAAAUUAGAUGAGUACCUUUUUUAAACUACCUGUCCAAACUCUUGUUUAGCCGAAAGAAAUGAAGAUUUCUGUGUGCAAUCAACAUAGCAGAACCAGAAAAGCUGGUCCAGUCUUAACCACAAAUAACAAGGCUAUUUCUAGUAUUCAUUUGUAGGAAGCCGUCAGGAACUCUUCUUUGCGAAGACAACAAAUGGUAUGAAAUAAAGCAGACAAGUAAUGAGUUGAAUUGGAAAAAAUUCAUGCUCUGUGAACCAGUGACAUGAUUACAAACUUAGAGGAAAAUACUGAUAUGCACACUGAAACAAAGGUAAACAUAACCAAAUAACGUUAAAGAUAACACACGUAUUCAUAUUCAUGUUGGACAAAGCAGAACUGUGGUGCUUUGAGUCUUUAAUUUAGACUCAUCUUGGUACUUAGGUACCAGAGAAGGCCAUCUGAGGAGUUCCUCCGUCCUUCAUUUAUUCAGAUUCUCUGAACAUGGCUGUGUAAUCAUUUUCUUAAAUUUUGCCCACGGUGCACUCAUGGCUACGGUAUCCAAACUUGAGGUAAUCUAUGCAGUACCAUUUAAUUGUACAGAAUUACACAGAGAUGAGAAACCAGAAACUACUGACUUGACUGUGUUAAUUAUAAUUUCAGAGGUUAUGGAAGAAAUGUUUUCAGUGUUGGGUUGCUGUUUUGCAUUUGUUUCGAGCGAGUUUGGUAUUUUUUGUGGGUUUUUCUUACAAUUUCAAGUUUUAAAUAAUGUUUAAAGAUGCAUGUGUAGUUUUGUGUGCCUUCAGAUAGAGUUACAAGUAGCAAGCACUGAAAAUCUGAUUUUUUGCUAGUGAAUUCUCAUAUUGCAGAUGGAGAGCAAUACUCAAAAAGGUCACAGGCCAGCUUAUCAUAAACAUUUUUCCAUGCUGAGAGUAUUUCCAUAACAAAGAAGGAACUGAGCUAUUCUAUUUUUGCUUGUUCAUUUGUAAUCCGGCCAAUUUAAGGUCACUUGUAUGGAUUUGAUUUAGAAGUGUACCAUAUACAUUGCUUUAGAAGUCUUUAGUCUCUUUCUUUUGUAAAAAAUACUGUCUCUGAUUUCCUCAUUUUUCUUUUCUCGUUUCAAUCGUUCCUUUACUAAGCAAAAAUGAUAGCAUGAGAGGUAAUGGAGAGGGCAGAGCGGCGUGUCAGGCAAAAGACCUGGAGGCUGAGGCUAUGAAACCUGACUGAGAGCUGUCAUCGGGCAAGAGGAGGAGAAAUGAGACUGGAAAAAAUAAGAGGGAUAAAACGACAUUAUUCUGAGGGAAAGUGAUGGGAGAGAGAGAGAGAGAGAGAGAUCUCCCUUGCUAACAACUGCCAAGAUGCAGAGCAUGCUCAGACUAUACUCAACAAAGCCCUGUGUCAUGCUGAUCAUUGCUGUGGGUGCCAGGUUGCUGACACAGAUUGCAGCCGAAGAACGUUAUUUUGAAAGUUUCCAAUGUUGGUGUACAGAUGCCCCUCCACAGCAGUGUUACUGAGACUGCAUCAGUAGUGAAGACAAACGGCGUGUACAGACAAAAUCGGCUGUCAAACUAUUUCUAAAGUUGGUACCUAAUCCUUAGAGGUUAUGCAAAUGGUGAUGAGCAGAGAGUCUGUCGGAGAAUGGCACUGAAAGGUCACAGCUCUGAGCAUGUGCAUUUCGCAGCCGCACUUGAAGGCAAGACCAGCAUGGAGUAACUGUAUGAGCUGACGCUGUACGGCUGAUGUAACAAUCAGAAUGACCAUUUCAGCCUGAGUUUAAGGAGACUGUUCUAUGUACUGUGCUGAACACCACCUGAUUCCAUAGAUGAGAGACAGUGCCCAAAAGUAGAAUGUGCUGACAGUUACCAAUCAGCUAAUGCAUUUUUAGUUUCUGCAUAACAUUAGGAUUUCUCAGCAGAUAAGGAACUAAGAAGCUAUGCAAUAUAUAUUACUGAUAAUGAAGUAAGAAGUUAUGCAAUAUGUAUUACACAACUACAUUUUCAAAGUUGUAAAGGAAAACUUGCAUUCUGCAUCACUUAUCCCACUGCAACGUACCAGCAUAUUUCCUCUUUGCUGUGGGGUUCAUUCAGUUAAAACAACCAACGAACAGCACGUUCUGAACUAAUUUAUGGAAUUUCAUUUAACUAUUUCAUAGAAGUGGCCCGUGUUCCACUUUUCAUUAUGUUAGACUACAUUUUGCACCCUCAGAUGACAGAGUCCGGGCUUUUCUCAAGAUGAUGAGAAACGUUUCAAAGAAAGUUGAUAGUGUCCACAGAAGUCACAGAGAUGGGCAAGAUGAUCGCAUUCUUCAUUUCCUAAUUUCAUUUACAGCCACUACAGUAUAAACAACUCUCAUAGUAUCUUUUAUCUGUCUGUUAUCAGCCAAAACAAGAUGAUGACCACUACCUUUGUUCCAUUAAAUCACAUCCUGCCAUAGCUCUUUAAAGUCAAAGAAAGUUUUGCUAUCAUUGAUAUUAAAAGCUGCAACCCUUUUAAAGUUUUUAACAUCUAAACCUGCAGGCAGAUCUCCACUCCCUCUUUAUGAAAAGAAUGGGAAAAAUCAGGUUGGAAAUCUUAAAAAAAAAUAGCAGUUUUCUAUUAAAAUGGAAGUGGUUUUUUUUCCUGACAGGCUUAUUCUCAUUCCUUGACACUUUUACAUUAAAAAGAAAAAACAUUAUACGUUUCUUUUUAUUGGAUUAUUGUGGUCAAUUAAUGCUUUUUAACACUGCAACUAAUGCCAAAAACAUCUACGUUGGACCUAGUAAUUAUGUAAACCAGUAAUUUAAGCUGAUCUGCGCAAUGAACUAUUAACGUAUUUCUUACUGAAAUUGCAUGUAGCUAAGUAUUUCUGGAUAAACUAAGAUAUUAUUUUCAGGUUUGUUUCUUUCCAAUGCUUAUCCUUUAUUAAAGUAUUUGAUUUUCCUUCUAAAAGAGCUAUAGUCCUAUUCUGUUAAAUCUGUUAGCUCAGUGCGGUGUUCAUAUUAUGCUAAAACUCCAUUGUCCUGAUACUGGGAAUGAGAAUCUAUGUAGAUUGCUCCAAAAGUAGUGCCUCCUAUUUAUUUCCAAGGAAACUACAAGAGACACAAAGUGCACAAUCACACGAUUUGUUAGAGCAAAUUCUCAGCUACAAAACACUCUUUUUCAACAUGGCCACCACCACUAGCUAUGCAUUUUCACCAGCAAUGAACAAGAGCCUGCGUGCCUGUUUAGAAAUAUCUGCAUGGCUGUCUCGAAUGUUUGUUUUCAUGUUACUGUCACCACUGCUGAAACACAUCACCCACCACCUGCCUGUGCUCACAUCCACUGUUUGGUCACCAUAAGUGUCCAGCAAACGUCAAUGAAUGUCAGUGGAUACCAUUUUUACUGCACGGAGGAGUUCA